GCGCCUGUAGCUCAGCGGAUAGAGCGCAGCCCUGCGGAGGCUGAGGUCGUGGGUUCAAAUCUCACCAGGCGUGCCA
rnacentral:tRNA from 1 species